UGGGGAAUAUUGCACAAUGGGCGAAAGCCUGAUGCAGCAACGCCGCGUGAGUGAUGAAGGUCUUCGGAUUGUAAAGCUCUGUCUUUUGGGACGAUAAUGACGGUACCAGAGGAGGAAGCCACGGCUAACUACGUGCCAGCAGCCGCGGUAACACGUAGGUGGCGAGCGUUGUCCGGAUUUACUGGGCGUAAAGGGUGCGUAGGCGGAUGUUUAAGUGAGAUGUGAAAUACCCGGGCUUAACUUGGGUGCUGCAUUUCAAACUGGAUAUCUAGAGUGCAGGAGAGGAGAAUGGAAUUCCUAGUGUAGCGGUGAAAUGCGUAGAGAUUAGGAAGAACACCAGUGGCGAAGGCGAUUCUCUGGACUGUAACUGACGCUGAGGCACGAAGGCGUGGGUAGCAAACAGGAUUAGAUACCCUGGUAGUCCACGCCGUAAACGAUGAGUACUAGGUGUAGGAGGUAUCGACCCCUUCUGUGCCGCAGUAAACACAUUAAGUACUCCGCCUGGGAAGUACGAUCGCAAGAUUAAAACUCUAAAGUGAAUUGACGGGGUC
rnacentral:rRNA from 1 species